UACAGAGGCCCCGAGCGUUAGGCGGAAUCACUGGGCUUAAAGCGUGUGUAGGCGGAUCGUUAAGUGUCUUGUGAAAUCCCACGGCUCACCCGUGGAACUGCUGGGCAUACUGGCGAUCUUGGGUCGUUCAGGGGCGACUGGAACAAGCGGUGGAGCGGUGAAAUGCGUAGAUAUCGCUUGGAACGCCGAAGGUGAAAACAGGUCGCUGGGGACGCGCCGACGCUGAGACACGAAAGCCAGGGGAGCAAACGGG
rnacentral:rRNA from 1 species